UCAACAGUAUUUGAGUCUGGUUGGUCACAAUCUUUAGGAAUUUGUGGUGAUUAAGGAUUAUUAUCCACUGUAGAAUGAUCUGAUUUGCCUAGGAAUCUUUUCUUAAAUUGUUUGUUUGAAAGGCAGAGAGAAAGACACACACAGAGAAAUCUUCCAUCUGGUGGUUUACUCCCCAAAUUUCCACAACAGCCAGGGCUAAUUCUGGAACUCUAUCCAGUGGCCGGGACUCAACCACUUGAGCCAUCACCUACUUCCUUCCGGGGUCUGCAUAGGGAGAAGUUGGGGUCAGAAACAGAGCUGGGAUUGCAGCCCAGUCACUGUGACAUAGAAUGCAGAGAACCCAAGAAGCAUCUUAACAGCUGCACCAAAUGCCCAGCCAAAGAGGCAACCGUGUUUGUCAUCAGCUUGGAAACACAAGCAUAGUGACCUAGACACCUACUUGAGGAAGUCUUAAGCUUAGAAAACUUGGGGGCAAGUUAGCCACCACUUAGAAUGCCUUCAAACUGUCAUCCAGUAUCACAAAUACAUUGUGUACUCCUUUUCCAAAAAGAAUUUCUUCAAUGCAUUUGUUGGCAAUGCCUAAAGAAAAAGUGGUAUUACCACCUUUUGAAUUAAACUUUAAACAAUAGCAUAAUAAGUGGAAAGAUACGUGCAUUUAGAUUUGUUCAGUGCCAUAUGCAAGUCCCUAGGAAAUCUAAAGAUGCCUGAUAAUAUUCAGUAACUACUUUUGUUGAACACAUAUGCUGUCAUACACCUUCUGGAGGGUGACUUCUACCUAUACAAAACCCUAGGAAUUCCAGUUAGUCAAAAAGUCUGACUUUCUCUCAAUUUAUGCAUUAGUUUCAAAUUCCACACAGUUGGCACCUCAUUACCACCAAGAGUGAGCCUUCAUUUGGAGUUUUUCUCCAGCUGACAUUAGCUUAUUUUUAUCUGUUUCAGGGUUAAUGCUAAUUUCUACUGAUGGUCAUUUUGGCUUCUAUUUAUAGCAAGUAUUGUAUAGACCAAUAGGAGAAGCAAUUCAGAAGGCAGGAGGGAAUCAAGCUAGAAAAUAAGAUCCAAACUAGUGGGGAAGCAGAACAAAGCAGGCAAACUCUCCUCAGAUCCAAUAUGGAUCCUCAGGGAAUGGAAAAGAGGGCUACAUAAUAGCAUUUGAGCUUAGAUCAGUUAAAUCUGUCAGCCUAUUUCUUAGCACACUUCUUGAAACAAGGUCUGGGAAGAAAUUGACUUUUCUGUGGCAGGCUGUAAGGGUGUACAACCACAUGUUGUGAAAAGGGACCAUGCAGAAUUAACCCAGUUAUAUUGUACAAGCAAUUACUUGACCUCACUUAGACAGCCCCCAGGUUUUGGGUUCCUGAUACUGGGAAGCAUAAUAGACUUUCCACAAGCAUCAUCCAGAUAGGAUUUGGUUAGAGUUUUGUUAUCAGCUUAAAAGGUAGGGAUAUGACUUUCAGUGAGUGUAAGAAAGUAAGUGACAGGAUUGUGACAGCAAGAAACAAAAGAACAAUGAGAAGUUUUUCAUGAUGGCAGAGAAGGGAAGACUUGGUUGUUGAUCUUUGGAACGUUGUACACAUUCAUCAUUCCAUCUACUUCUGGGAAAGACUUACCUGGUCAGCUGCACCUUAUGACUUCAACAGCGUACAUUUUCAAGAGUCUGGAUCUGCUUUCUUGAGAUGUAUGUGAUCAAGUUCCCAAGUAUUGAAGUUUUAAUGAGUUGUGGAGAGCUUUCACAUCCUUUGCUAAAUUGAUCCCGAGGUAUUUAAUUGCUUUGUAAUGACUGUGAAUGAGACUGAACUUGUAACUUCUUUGUCCACCAGAGCACUGCUGGAAGACCAAUCACCAAAUCCAGGUUAUUUUGCAGAGAGAAAGCUAUUACAAGGAGAUCAGGCAAUUUAGGGACAGCUUGUUCUCACACAAUACUGUUGAAAUCUAAUACUGUUGAAACUAGAGACAACAGAGGACCCCCUCUCUCCAUGCUUCAUGGUAAGCUUCAGGGGCUGUCUAACAUACUAAUAGCCCAUAAUUGUCACUUGCCAAUACCUAUUCAAAGAACACCCCCAAUCCCUUUCCUCUGUACCUGUCAUGUUCUGUCACUGCUUUGUCCAGUUUGCCCCCAAUUAGCCUAACUCCAAAAAUUUACAAAUCUCUUUCUAAAUGGAGAGGUUGCUUUGGGCUUCACUGUGAUCUGCCACUUCUCCUACAGACCUAUAAUGAGCAAUGAAUGUUCUCUUUCUCAGAGUUGAAUGGAGAGUUCUUACAACAGUAAUCGUCUGAACAUGAAUGGGAAGACCAGUUGAGUGUACCUGCUCUCACUGACAUGCUUUCAGUAGCUACCUGAGAAAACAGAGCUGAAUGGAGAAGUCUAUUAUCGCUUUUAAUUCUAUUGUUUGUAAUUCUAUGUUUGAAGUACACUUAUACUUGUUACACUGUGUUAUUUAGGAAAUAAUUACAAAGGAAAAAUAUAUGUAUGUAUGGUCAGUAGAUAUGCAUCUUUUUAAAAAAAAUAUUUUGGACCCACAGUUCCUUAAAUCCAAGGACCUGGAACCCACACAGAUGGUAGGCAAGCUAUAAAUAACAUACAUGCCGAUAUAGACAUACAGAAACAUACACAGACAUCUAUAGACGUACACACAGAGACAAAGAUCAUAUCACUUCCAUUUUAAAUUGUUAAUCAGGGGCCAUGUAUAAUAAUACAAAACCUGCUAGUUUCUAGAAGAAUAGUUAGAUCUGAACUGUGUUUCUGGACAAAAGAAAAAAAAUAACCUUUCUAGGUUAAAAGCAAGCUCCCAAACAGUGCCUUGAAUGAAAAACCUCAGGCCCCAGUCUCCCAGCCAGUCUCUCUUAGCUUAACUCACUGAAUCGAGAGAGUGGUGGAGAUGGCUCUACAGGGUUCUAAUCGCUGGACUCAUGACACUUGUGGACAGCAUUGUCUUGAACAAUGUUCUAUAGGAGAAUUCUGGGUGCAAGACAGAAAGCCCUGAAGCCCACUUUGCCAUUAUCAAAAUCCCUGAAGAGUAUGGCAUUGCUGACCACUGAAGAACUUGGACCUGAGCUGACCUUGUAACUGGACUGGAUAUGCACUGCAGCUCCAACUAGCCCCUUAUCACCUGGCCAGCGGCCAACAGGCUGCUGCGUCUGUCCUUUAUUCCCUUAUUCCUGAAUUCUGCUUCCCUGUGGCCUCCUAAACAUCCCAGAGCACCCUUAUUCAGGACGGUGGUAGAUCUGGAGACUGGAGGGUCUGCUAACCCUCAUAUGUCUUUUCUUUACCCUCAGACUUUGUCCCCAUUAUUUUGGUUUUCAGGAACAAGAUGACUAACACUAAGAUUUCUGAAAAAUACUGAGAUUAUUGCUUGCUCCUUUCCAAAUAGUUCUCUUCCUCUCUUGUGAUGAGUCAUCUCCCUCAAAUUUGCAUUUUCAAAUUGAUGGCCUUAGGUGGGAGACCAUAGAAAAUUCACAUCUCAAAUACAUAGAACUUAGAUUCCAGACUUAAAAACCAUUACUUUCCAAAAUAAAGAAAUAAAUGUGCAGGUAAAAGUCCAGCUUACAGACAGGGAAAACACCUUAAACAAAGGCAAGGCAUGUCCUACAGAUUUUAGCCCAUCAGCUCCUUAGGAAUAUUUGUAGUAAUUUUGUCCUGCUUUCCUGGUGCAGAGGGGCAAGCAGCCUUACAAAUGGAAAUUUCUUUUAUAGAUGUAAAUUUGGUCUUUCAAAAGCUUCUUAAAAUAAGUAGCUGCAAAUAUUUCUUAGGGCAGACAGGCAUAUAUUGGAGUCUAAUCUGGCUUCAAAGAUCAGGAAGUCCCAGAUCCUGCCUUCCAAUGAAAGUACUAAAUGCCUCAGAAAAUUUCUGGGGUAGCAGAGGAAGCUUUCCCUUGCAAGGGAAAAUGUUCACUGUUGUGGUGAACUCAAUAAUGACCAAGGCCUAAAGAAGGCUAACGAAGCAGCGUUAGUUGUUCUGAGGGCCUAAUUUUAGAAGGCAUCUGUAUUGCUUUCUUUUCAUCAUGAGGUGGGAAGGUAAGUGAGUUAAAAGGUUAGCAGGCUGAGAGUAGUAGAGAGAAGGAGAGAGCUUGCGACUGGAAUUAAGGUUGUGCUCAUGACCUUGCUUUGAUUCCCUGGGAAUUUUGAUAAUGGCAAAGCGCCCUUCAGUCAGUCUGGGGGCAAUGUGGAGGUGGUGGCUACUUUUUGCUACAGGCCUGGAGUUCCUGGGAAAGAAACUCCUCAAGACAAGGCCCAGCAUCAAGAUGCUAUCCACAGGGGAUUAGGGAUCCUGGAGGGCUGGUUGCACCACACCCUCAACUCAGAGUUAAUUUUAAUGAAAGCAGGGCAAGGAAUACUUGAAGGAAGGAGACUGAGACCAUGGUAGAGUAGGAUCUGGUAGUAUUUAGCACCUGAAUUCAAGGCACUGGGUAAGUAUUUUAGGAAAGUGUCUCCUGUUUUUAUUCCAACUCCUUGUCCCAUGUGAGAUAAGAAUUCAAAGCAGAGGCAUAAAUAAUGUGCAAAAAUGAGAGCAGGAUUUAUUUAAAGUGGGAUUGUGAGUGUACAGGUAGGAAUGAGGGCAGCCAACCCCAGGAGGAGGUACUCCUGGUGAGAAGGCCGGAGGCAGCCUAGUCCCCCAGGCCAUAAGGGCUUGGUUUCAGCAUUGAGUACAAUGGGCUUCUUGGUUACUCAUUGUUGGGGAAGAGGAAAGUCUCCUUUGGAUAUCAAUUCUGAUUCCAAAAACCACUGAAGGAAAAACUGUAGACAAAAUAGAUUGAGCUGAGUUUAUACAUGCAUGAAAAGAUUCAUAAAUUUAGCAGCAUUCAAAUCCAGAAGUGGCUCCGAGGCAACAAAGCAGUGAGUUUUUGUAGUGUGAAGGUAGAGGUAAAAUGCAUAAAUAGUUUGCUUUCUCUCUCAAAGAGCAAGUGCCUUACUUGGCAUCGUUCUAUCAGUCUGUCAUUGACUGAACGGUGGUGCUUAUGAUUGACUGAGCCUCUGCGCUCUGCUACAAUAACAUUCUCCCAAGUUAGGUUUGAGUUUCUGUGCUAAAAAGAGGGUGCAGCUUGUCAUAUAGAAACUUGAAAAUAUGAAGAUAGCCUCAGGCCAAUGGCCCCUAGCUUAUUUAACGAUUCUGCCUCUUUACUGCUUAAUGUGUUUGGGAGUCUGUACUUUCAAAGCAUUUUUCCAGUGUUUUUUGUUGCUAAAGGUUGGAACUGUCGCUCCCCGUCUUCGUGGAGGAAUGACACAGGACCCUGCGCUGUUCUUUUGUCUGCUCGGCCCUCCCCGGGUUUGCUGCUGGUUCUUCCCAGGUUGGCUGCCGUCCCUUCCACCUCCGUGGAAGGGCGGUUCCCCCUAGCCACUUUCCCCACUUCCGCGGGGGAGCAGCACACCGCCGGCCGGCUCGCUCCAGGGCUGCACAGGUGUUCCUUCAGAUAGAUGUUCCUGGUGCAUGUUGUCUCUCUCCUCCUUUAUAGUCCUCUUCCACCAAUCCCAACUCUGCUACCCACACGCCGAGUACGCUGCUCUCCUCCAAUCAGGAGCAGCUCCUGCAGCUUGUCAAGUUGGUGAAAGGCAGCUGGGUAGAAGCUGUUUGCUCCUCUCCCAGCACCAUAUUGUGGGAGAGCAGAUGCAUAGAAUAAGUCUUAAUUCCAGUAACUUAGUCUAGUCCGAGUUGCUCCCCACAGGAACUAACUCUACUGUAAAUAGAUCUCAGAUUAGCAGGACCAUUAAUGAGUUGCAUAGGUAUGGGAUUCCCAGAGUUGAGUCUGUGGUAGGGAUAAGAAACUCUUGAAUUGUUCUGCAUAGCAGAAGUGUGCACUUCAAAGAAAUGAAACGGAUGUAGAGGAGGAACAAGAUGGGAGAGAGAAUCUUCUAAAAAUUGAUAUCUAUUUUUUUAUUAAACUGCUUCUCCACACUAGAAUCCUCUAUAAUACCUCACAUUUUCAGGAAACAUCUGCAGUAACUACCUAUUGGGCAGAUUUUUUUCUGGAAUGUCCCUAUGUACUUCUUUUUUAAUUGAUUAAUUUAUUUUUUAAGGAAUACAAAUUUUAUAAGUACAAGAUUAGGAAUAUAGUUAUUCUUCCCACCCACACUCCCACUCCUCCUCCUCCUCCCUCUCCCCUUCCCAGUCCCAUUCUCCAUAGAUUCAUUUUCAAUGAACUUUGCACACAGAAGACCAACUCUAUACUAAGCAAACAUUUCAAAAAUUUGCACACAUACACACACACAAAAAACUGAGAAUUAGUUUUACAGUUAACUUCCAUAAUAACAACUCAUUGAGGACAGAGGUCCUGCAUGGGGAGUUAGUGCACAGUGACAAUUAACACUCUUAAUGUUUGUCCUAAACAGCAGACUCAUUGACAGUUGCUUUAAGUAACACCCUGUGUAUUUCUUGUCUUAGUCCUUGUGAAAUUAGGCAGGGAGUUAGGUACUACUAGGUGGUAGCUUUGGGAUCCCCAAGGAGGGAAGGCCUAUAAUACUUCCGGGAAUAGAAAGUCCCUACCCGCACUUCCGGGGAAGAAAAGUCCUUGUCAAGGUCCCCACGGUGCCUAAAGGGCAACCAAGGAGGAUCAGACCCGCCUCAACCUUUAACCCCUGAAUCUAUAAAAGGAGCCCUCUCAACUUUUGACACGCGACUUCCCUGGACCCCCGCUCUGCUGGGACUGGUGAACCUCGCCCGGGAGCAGAAUCCCAAAAAAGCCUGUGAAUUUAAUUGAUUCAUCUGCCUGGGAAGAUUUGUUAUGCGCCGGACAACAGGAAUUUUUACCAGUCCUCCACUGUAACUUUAUCCCUUCAUUUCUCAAUCUAAUAUGUCCACCUUCCCAUGAUGCACCUGUGUCUCACUGGGGACCAGCAAGGAAGAGAUGCCUUCCUGGCCACAUGGUAGUUAAACUCCGUGUUUAGGGACUAUAUAGAUCCCAGAAAUUCUCAUAAGCCACUCCCCACCACCACAUAAAAUAGACUAAUAACAGGCGAGAUGCCUUAUUUUGCUACUUGCCAUGCUUGGGGAUCCUUCUCAGGCCUCCUCUUUUCCCCCUUACUUCUCGUGGUCAACUCUCUGGCCCACUCAUGAUGUCAUCUUUCCAUGUGGAGGGGCCCACACUCAUGCGUGAAUGUAUGUUCACUGUGUCUCUAUUUUAAAUAAAUCCUGCUCUCUCUCACUUGGGCACUAUGUGGAUGCUUGUGCUUUGGAUUCUUAUCUCUGUGGGACAAGAACCUAGAAUACAGAUUAAAAUACCUAUGCCCAUGACACUGGUAGAAGGGAAGGGUGAGACCAGCCUCCAAGGCUGAGCCAAGAGUCAUGUCACAUAUGCUUUAAAAGCAGGUGAUAAGAACCAAAGAACAUUAGAAGCCCUCUGAGCAAUACCACGACUCUGUAUGGAGAAGCCAUCUUGCAUUUUCCUUCUUUCAAACUCAAAACUUAAAGGUGGAUACUGUCUUCGCCAUGAAAACAUAUUUUUCUCUUAUAAGAGGAAGCAAAAUAAAGUAUGUAUAUUUUCUAGUUUAUUUUAUAGAAAAUUGCCCUACUUCCCCUUGAAGUAGGCAGGCAUACAGGCUAAAAUUGAUUAGAUUUGUGAACUGGAAGACCAAGCCUUCGCCACGCCCCUGUGUGACCUCAUGCCCCUACCUGGCCAGACCUGGGUGCCAACCAGUCAAUCAGGUUAAUUAUCCACUCCCCUUUGGAAGUAGAUUAAAAGCCUGGGGCACAGAGUGUCUGGCAGGAGGCGGGCUUGCUGUAGCCCUGUGCCUCCAGGGCUCAUGGCCUUUGGGCCAUGCGCCCUAGGCUUCCUGGCCUAGAUACUCAUCCACGUGGCUGGUUCCUGGUGCUCGGUAUGAACCCCCAUUCACCUCUCUCUUAAAUAAAGCUCUCACUCUCUUAUGAACCUUCCUCACUAAAUAAAAGCUUAAAAUGUACUAUGCUGCCUCGUUUAUCUGUGCCAGUAUUUAGAAUUCUCCUCUAAAUAUUAGGUAAGAACACUCUUGGGCUUAUUAAUAUCGGGGAUUUAUUAAUAAGCUCAUGGUGAAAUCAUAUGGCACCCCAAAUUCCGGUAGCAUAUGUGGCAUCCCAGAUAGCACUCUGGGAAACUUUAAAGGGCCACAUUUUUGUGUAGAUAUUAGGGGGUCAUGUCUGAUUUCACCCACACUUAUAACAGGUAACCAAAAAAAAUUCAUACUUAGAAAGGACAGAUUUUCUUUUAAAAUAUCAUUGCUAGGCAGAUGGUGGAGGCCCUAUACAGGAGAGAUUAUUGCAAUAGGAAAAACACUGUGACUACAGACCUGCAAAAGUCUCAAGAAUUAGCCAGAGAGAGGCUUUGUUUUAUGGAGAAGAAAGGUUUUAAAAGUGUCUUGAUUGGAUGGUAGGUCAAAGAGUGUUUUACCUUGUGGCCAGCUUAUUUUCUGGUAGCGGCCCUUAACGGGGGCAUAGUGGAAGUUAUCUGCUGUUUCCAAUUGAGAUUGACCUGAGUUCAAGGGCUUGGGGGAAGGAGGGAAGCCAACCAAAUUUUGUCUACAAGCAUUUUGCUCCCUUUGAUCCAUAUUCUUUCCUUGACCAACCUGCACUAGGCUCCUUCUGAAUCCACUGUUCAGUGAGGCUCAGAUUUUGGUCUUCUUGUCUACCGCUGCACUAUCU